rnacentral:rRNA from 1 species
AUGGCCAUGGUGACCGGCAUGGCCAUGCUGUCGGCGCUAGCGAUCCUCAUCCUCAUGCCGUCGGCGCGAGGGCUCGACCGCGCCGAGUUCCCGCCUGGCUUCCUCUUCGGCGCCGGGACGUCUGCUUACCAGAUCGAGGGCGCAUACCUGGAGGACGGCAAGGGCCUCGGCAACUGGGAUUUCUUCACCCACACACGCUAGCAGCUACGUGCUUUGGUUCCCCAUAAAGUUGGCUUUGGCAACGGCCCCACAAUAUGCGGGAACUGGUUCCAUAGCCGAAAAGAGAAUAUUGACAUACACUGUGGAUUAUUGCCGUAA